GUGGGGAAUCUUGCGCAAUGGGCGAAAGCCUGACGCAGCAACGCCGCGUGCGGGAUGAAGGCCUUCGGGUUGUAAACCGCUUUCAGCAGGGACGAAAAUGACGGUACCUGCAGAAGAAGCUCCGGCUAACUACGUGCCAGCAGCCGCGGUAAUACGUAGGGAGCAAGCGUUGUCCGGAUUUAUUGGGCGUAAAGAGCUCGUAGGCGGUUUCGUAAGUCGAGUGUGAAAAAUCUGGGCUUAACCCAGUGGAGCACUCGAUACUGCGAUGACUUGAGUCUGGUAGAGGAGUGUGGAAUUCCUGGUGUAGCGGUGAAAUGCGCAGAUAUCAGGAGGAACACCAACGGCGAAGGCAGCACUCUGGGCCAGUACUGACGCUGAGGAGCGAAAGCGUGGGGAGCAAACAGGAUUAGAAACCCCAGUAGUCC
rnacentral:rRNA from 1 species